UAGGGAAUCUUCCGCAAUGGACGCAAGUCUGACGGAGCAACGCCGCGUGAGUGAAGAAGGAUUUCGGUUCGUAAAACUCUGUUGUUAGAGAAGAACAGCGCAUAGAGUAACUGUUAUGCGUGUGAAGGUAUCUAACCAGAAAGCCACGGCUAACUACGUGCCAGCAGCCGCGGUAAUACGUAGGUGGCAAGCGUUGUCCGGAUUUAUUGGGCGUAAAGCGAGCGCAGGCGGUCAAUUAAGUCUGAUGUGAAAGCCCCCGGCUCAACCGGGGAGGGUCAUUGGAAACUGGUUGACUUGAGUGCAGAAGAGGAGAGUGGAAUUCCAUGUGUAGCGUUGAAAUGCGUAGAUAUAUGGAGGAACACCAGUGGCGAAGGCGACUCUCUGGUCUGUAACUGACGCUGAGGCUCGAAAGCGUGGGUAGCAAACAGG
rnacentral:rRNA from 1 species